GAUCUGGAGCAGCUUCCAGGUGUGCGGUUUUAAACUAUUUACAGAACUGAGUUGGAGUUGGACUUUUGAAAAACUACCUUAUCGAAAAAGGAAAGCUUUGCAAAAUGCCCCCGUCACAAGCGCACAAGUAAACUAGGCUAGUCAUUUUUUGUAAACUUAAAAUGAGCAGGAACUAAGGGACUUUCGCUAGAGUGUUCCACGCCAGGUCGACAACGCACCAUCAAACAAGAUGAGGUGUGUCCGCUCCAAUUGAAUCAUAUCUGGAUUUAAACAACUUGGUGGAUUCUAUUAGGCUACUCAGAAACUCGCCACGAAUGUCUGCAAGAUCGUGUCUGGCGCCAAGACGUGAUUUAAGGUGUCUUACUGUACUUCCCAGUGGCCAGAGAGGUGAGAAGAGGCUAUAAUACAUCUACACCAGGAACUGAUCAGACUCGUCUUCUUCCACCAUUUAGCGGCGACAAUAUAUGAGA